CGGGGCGUAGCGCAGUCUGGUAGCGCGACGGUUUUGGGUACCGUAGGUCGGGAGUUCGAAUCUCUCCGCCCCGACCA
rnacentral:tRNA from 1 species